UUAAUUUUCACACACAGAUAAGUGUACUCCAAUGACUUUCCCCAAGUUCACCGGAAGUUGAUAACUCGCCUUAGCAAAGCAUGGUGUGAACGAUAGGGGAUAAUAUCCGUAAAUGGCAAACAACAGAGUAUUGCAAUGGGCAACGUUUGCUCGCACAUGGUGGAUAUAUGAUGCCAACUGCCAGUGUCCCUUCAAGUCAGCCAAGGUCCUCGUCCCCCACCUCCAGGGGAAACACAAGCCAAUAUAUCACCCGCUCAGUGACAUCGGCGACCAUGUUGUUGUCAUCAACACGAAGCACAUUGCUAUGAAGGGAGACUACUGGAGGAAAUGGCGGUAUCAUCAUCACACAGGACAUGGGGGUGGCUACACUGCCACAUCGGCAUGGAGACUGCACCAGCUGGAUGCCACAAAGAUCAUGUACAGAGCUGUAUACAGCCGUCUCCCGGGCAACCUGCUGAGACACACCAUCAUGAGAAGACUACAUCUGUUUGAGGAGGAGAAUGUCCCUGAGGAGAUCCUGGCCAAUGUCACCGGUCAGAUCCGUCAAGUGAUGCCAGUGCCAAAACGAUAUGAUGAAUACACGGAGGAGGAAAGAAAGACAUUCCCCAGACUCUUUGACUGGCCAGAAGAUCAUGUGCUGGACUAUGGGAAGAAGAAGGAUGACCUUUCAUAGUUUAAGCUGUAGGACACAACUACCAGGGAAUGUGGCCAGCCUGGGGCUGAAACCUGGACACAGGAAUAUCCUCGGGUUGGUCUGUGUGUCCAGCAGUGUGUGUAUGUGUGUGUGUGUGUGUAGAAAUUACAAAAAUAUUUGUAUGUGUGUUUUAAAGGAAAUAAACCAGUUGUUUACAUGAAGAACUUUA
rnacentral:misc_RNA from 1 species